rnacentral:rRNA from 1 species
AGAGUUUGAUCCUGGCUCAGGACGAACGCUGGCGGCACGCUUAACACAUGCAAGUCGAACGAGAGAAGAGGAGCUUGCUUUUCUGAUCUAGUGGCGGACGGGUGAGUAACACGUGAGCAAUCUGCCUUUCAGAGGGGGAUACCGAUUGGAAACGAUCGUUAAUACCGCAUAACAUAAUUGAACCGCAUGAUUUGAUUAUCAAAGAUUUAUCGCUGAAAGAUGAGCUCGCGUCUGAUUAGCUAGUUGGUAAGGUAACGGCUUACCAAGGCGACGAUCAGUAGCCGGACUGAGAGGUUGAUCGGCCACAUUGGGACUGAGACACGGCCCAGACUCCUACGGGAGGCAGCAGUGGGGAAUAUUGCACAAUGGAGGAAACUCUGAUGCAGCGAUGCCGCGUAGGGAAGAAGGUUUUAGGAUUGUAAACCUCUGUCUUCAGGGACGAAAAAAGACGGUACCUGAGGAGGAAGCUCCGGCUAACUACGUGCCAGCAGCCGCGGUAAUACGUAGGGAGCGAGCGUUGUCCGGAAUUACUGGGUGUAAAGGGAGCGUAGGCGGGAUCGCAAGUCAGAUGUGAAAACUAUGGGCUUAACCCAUAAACUGCAUUUGAAACUGUGGUUCUUGAGUGAAGUAGAGGUAAGCGGAAUUCCUAGUGUAGCGGUGAAAUGCGUAGAUAUUAGGAGGAACAUCAGUGGCGAAGGCGGCUUACUGGGCUUUAACUGACGCUGAGGCUCGAAAGCGUGGGGAGCAAACAGGAUUAGAUACCCUGGUAGUCCACGCCGUAAACGAUGAUUACUAGGUGUGGGGGGACUGACCCCUUCCGUGCCGCAGCAAACGCAAUAAGUAAUCCACCUGGGGAGUACGACCGCAAGGUUGAAACUCAAAGGAAUUGACGGGGGCCCGCACAAGCAGUGGAGUAUGUGGAUUAAUUCGAAGCAACGCGAAGAACCUUACCAGGUCUUGACAUCGUAUGCAUAGCUCAGAGAUGAGUGAAAUCUCUUCGGAGACAUAUAGACAGGUGGUGCAUGGUUGUCGUCAGCUCGUGUCGUGAGAUGUUGGGUUAAGUCCCGCAACGAGCGCAACCCUUACUGUUAGUUGCUACGCAAGAGCACUCUAGCAGGACUGCCGUUGACAAAACGGAGGAAGGUGGGGAUGACGUCAAAUCAUCAUGCCCCUUAUGACCUGGGCCUCACACGUACUACAAUGGCUGUCAACAGAGGGAAGCAAAGCCGCGAGGUGGAGCGAACCCCUAAAAGCAGUCUUAGUUCGGAUUGUAGGCUGCAACCCGCCUACAUGAAGUCGGAAUUGCUAGUAAUCGCAGAUCAGCAUGCUGCGGUGAAUACGUUCCCGGGCCUUGUACACACCGCCCGUCACGCCAUGGGAGUCGGUAACACCCGAAGCCUGUAGUCUAACCGCAAGGAGGACGCAGUCGAAGGUGGGAUUGAUGACUGGGGUGAAGUCGUAACAAGGUA